AACGAGUGUUCCCGAGAAACCGGUUAAGACUGAACCGGGCGUGGUGCGGUUGAAGCAGGAUAACGAGAAGAAGAUUAUAAUUGAGGAUUUCGUGGAGAUCACGCCGAAACCCACUCUCCAGCCUAAGAGAAAACGAAAACAUCACAAAAAAAUACUGCCGAUGAUUAAUAACGAUGUGUUAAAACCAAUAUCGAUUGAGGACUCGCCCUUAGAAGAAACAAUGACGUUGCCACGGACGCAUUCAGAUCUAGAACAACCGGAUGAAAUUUAUAAACGUUAUGAUGAGAGCAGUGAUGAAGACAAACCGACGGACGGCGUUCGUAAAGACUUCCAGAGCGUUGAUGUAUACGGAACAGAUCUAGGUAAAGCCUCGGAGCGAACGUCAAAAUCGACGGACG